rnacentral:rRNA from 1 species
UACGUAGGGGGGCUAGCGUUGUCCGGAAUCAUUGGGCGUAAAGAGCGUGUAGGCGGUCCGGUAAGUCCGCUGUGAAAGUCGGGGGCUCAACCCUCGAAUGCCGGUGGAUACUGUCGGGCUAGAGUGCGGAAGAGGCGAGUGGAAUUCCUGGUGUAGCGGUGAAAUGCGCAGAUAUCAGGAAGAACACCCGUGGCGAAGGCGGCUCUCUGGGACGGUACUGACGCUGAGACGCGAAAGCGUGGGGAGCGAACAGG